AAGAUUUGCCUUGAUUGUUGUUUACCAAUAAUAGAUUAAUAGCUUACAGCUAUCUGCACUUCAUGUGCCCUACACAAUUAUAUUAUCAUGCACAUCAACUAUUAAUCACAUAACAACGCAUAGUAGUUGUAAUAUAAACUUUACACUACAUCUCAUAAUGAUGCAUGUUUUAUAUAUCAUCAUUUUGCAUUUGUAAAUUGUCAAUUAAAAUUGACCCAUGUGUGGUCUUUGUGAUACUAUUUUUACAGGUGGCAUCAUCUUCAGUCGCUCACAUAGACCACUCUCCACCUAGCCAGAUGGCUUUUUGUUUGAGAUAUUGGUACGUAUAAUAGCCUGCCUACUUUUAAUCGCACGAUAGUGGAGCGGUUGAUGGGCCAUUCUAUGUCAUAUUUGUCUCUCUAGGUACCUGGGGUGUUUGUCGACAGGAUGUUGUCACACUGGAUGCCCGAGUGACAUGUUUUCAGGUUUGUAUUGAACGAGCUCACUCCCACCCUAGAGGAGUAUUGUCGAAUUUCAGGCUUGUCAGUGGACGACCCUUGUGAUAGAGUGGCGGUUGGUCAGAUGCGCCGCCAGUUCAUAACCAUGAAUGUCUUGAGGUGGUCAGUCAUUUUGGCAGAGGUCACUGGUGGACAUAUUGUGUCGAUGGAUUUCUUGGUAGAUUGCUUCGAUUUUGCCGACAACUUUUUCAUGUACCGAGGCUGCUUUGCCAUUUCAGAGGAUAGAUUGCACACGGUGAGAGUUGAUGUAUUGAUGAUAUGCGUUUUGGAUUUUAUUUACAUGUCCAUUUACAUCGAUCAUAUGGAUGUUGGAGUAUUAAUGGUGGUCAAGGCCCUUCAUGGUGUCUUUACCAUCCUUCCAUUGAUCUUAGCUGAGAUGUUGAUAACGGCCUCUUAUUGUCAGACUUUUGGAGACUGAGUGUUUAGUGGGAGUUAAGUUCUUUUAUAUGUCUGGUUCGUGACCCAUUUGAGGUCGAUAUGUCGGUUUCAUCGUCAUGGGUACUGUUUUGUCCACAACAUAGCUCUUUCCUAUUUUUUUCGCCCGGCUUCGUAUGUUGACAUCAUGUCUUAGGCUGAGUUCCUGACCUUUAUUGAGGACCCCUUAGAGAUCGUGAUGUACUCAGGGUAUUGCUCCUUCUUGAGCUUUGUCACCCAUGUUGCUAAUCUUAAUUUUCUCCCCCUGGCAGGUUUGAGGGGUGUUACUACAUAUCAACCUCUGGCAGUCAUGGGCCAGUUCGAUCAACGUCUGGAGGUCCAGUUAUUUUAGAGAGCUGGAGAUUAUCAAUUCUAGAUUUGCUCCACUACUGCGGCGUAUUUGGCGUAGGUCUACAGAUUUUAGUCUCACAGACAUAUUACUAAGUUUAGGGAUGGCUAUGUUGGUCAGUCUUCAGAGAACUUUGCCUAGUUGGAGGCGGCCUAGGCGUAUGCUAUUGUUGAUUAUGCCAAGGCAGGUGCCUAGUCUAGUGAUGAUGAGGAGCUAAUGGGGGACCCAAUAUCACUGACUAAGGAUGAGUUAUAUGUCGUUUUAACCAAGGCUUUUGCCAGAACGACUCCUAGUUUUGCCCCUGCUUCAGUUUCUGCAUCAACGGGGGAGCUAGAUCGUCAGGUGCAUCUUCUUACAUUCGAGCGAGAUCAGGUAUGAGCUUUGAUGCUGACUGUUUUGGCUAGUAGAGAUACAACUUAUGUUGAGA
rnacentral:lncRNA from 1 species